UCUGUGGUAGCUUAAAAAGAGCGCGGCGCUGAAGACGCCGAGGUGGUCCUGUGGAUUCCCAGAU
rnacentral:tRNA from 1 species